rfam:Gossypium raimondii Chr10_contig_1374, whole genome shotgun sequence.
UUUUAAAAAAAAUUCAUCCCUUUGUACGGUUAAAACUGAUGUGGCUGAUAGACUAACUUGACAAUGACACAUGACAUACCAUGUGUAUCUCCUACUUACGCAUAGCGGCAUAGGGGUCAAUUUUUAACCGUAAAAAUAGAUAAAAUUUUUAAUA